rnacentral:misc_RNA from 1 species
GAUGAAGAACGUAGCGAAAUGCGAUAAGUAAUGUGAAUUGCAGAAUUCAGUGAAUCAUCGAAUCUUUGAACGCACAUUGCGCCCGCCAGAAUUCUGGCGGGCAUGCCUGUUCGAGCGUCAUUUCAACCCUCGGUCUCCCUCCGGGAGAGACCGGCGUUGGGGACAGGCACUUACCCCGCCGGCCCCGAAAUGAAGUGGCGGCCCGUCCGCGGCGACCUCUGCGUAGUAACUCCACUCGCACCGGGACCCGGGCGCGGCCACGCCGUAAAACCCCCAACUUCCGAAUGUUGACCUCGAAUCAGGUAGGAAUACCCGCUGAACUUAAGCAUAUCAAUAAGCGGAGGA